CGUCCGAGGCGCAGGCGCACUGCCGCAGCCGUGGCGCUCGGCCGCCUCCUGGCGGAGAGCAGCUUCUUCACGCGCCGUUGGUCUGUGGUUGUGCCCGCGGCCGGCGGGUGCCCGCGUGCCUCAGCCCACCUGGCUGUGCGUGGCCAGUGCCGGUUGAAGUAGAUUCAGACGGUUGACUUCGAGGGAAUUGGAGAAAAAGGAACAGCUUAGAGACUACUUACUUGGGUGGAGAGAACAUGGAUUCCGUUCGUUGGCGGUUGAUGCUGGCACUGUGCAUGUGCGCCCAGACGCCCCGGGACAGUAACGUCGAAUUCGGAGUCGUCGACCUUGAGCCACAAUUCCCAGAGGAACGUGAGAGAGAAGCUGCUGCUCCCCGUUCCCGGCGACGCGCCCACUGCGCACUGUAGAACAGGAAAACUCCUAAUCUCGGAUUUGUGACAUUGCAACUCCUUUCUGAGAAAACAAAACACACACCCACAAACAGAACAAAACAAUACGGCUUUUCUCAUAGACCACAUAGAAAAGAAAAAAAUCCGGAGGAACUCACUCGAAACUUUCAGCCGAGGGACUUCUGGAAAAAAUGGAUUGAAGGGAAGAAAAGGAUGCUCACCAUAGUUAGAUUUCUGUGUUAAUACAAAGUUUUUAAUUUUUGCAAGACACAUGUUACUUUUGAAAGAGCAUACCUCUGAACUCUGCUUUUACGUAAUUUAUAUGUGAUUUAUUCUACUUCUGUCUUUGCGAUCUUUAAAAAAAAGUCAUACUUAAAAUAUAACUUUUAUAAAAAGCAGACAAAAGGCG